UCUAUCACUGGAGAGCAAACUACAUGUUGAGCACUAAUUUACAUUCGUGUGUGUGUGUGUGUGUGUGUGUGUGUGUGUGUGUGUGUGUGUGUGUGUGUGUGUGUGUGUGUGUGUGUGUGUGUGUGUUGUUCUCCAGGACACUGACAGACCUGCUGAAGCAGCAGGGAGGUGAGGCGAGCACGGUGGAAAACGCCACGGCCAGUUCGCCCAACGGAGGGAGAGCCAACGGCAUAUCGGCCAGGAUGCUGCGCAGCAGGAGUGAACAGUACCAUCUGAAUAACUCAGCUUACGGGCCGUUUGGACAAGGGCUUCCACACCCGCACAGCAACCACAGCACAGUGGGGCUCAACAAAUAUACAUCCCUUAAAGCUGUGGCACACAGUGCAUCCCGUAGCUACUACAAGAGCUUCCCGCUAAUGGACUUCUCCCAGUACCAGCCUGUGGCACCUCCAGCCUUCCAGCCAGUUCCCGUACAGCCUAAAGAGAAGUCAUACAUCCACCAGCCUGUGUCGGCACACCACGACCUCCACGCCCCCCUCUCCAUCUCCAUCCCCUCCAGUCACCUGGAGCAAUCGCGCCUCCCCAAGACCACAACACACCCGCAGCUCUCCAGCUCGGCCUUCAAAGCCUGGGAGCCGACCGGCCGCCACGUCCACAGGCAGGCUUCUGCCCCGGGGCACACCUCCUCCUCCAUGCACAGCUCAAGCCGGAGACAUGGUUACUCGACCCGGAGGCAGCAGAGCAUAGAGAACAUGCCAGAUCUCUUUAGCCAGCCUUAUGGGGGCAUGUAUGGAGGAGCUGGAGCGGGUGCAGGGCAGGGGCAGCAUAUACAGGGGCAGCAUGUACAGGGGCAGCAUGUACAAGGGCAACAUGUACAUGGGCAACAUGUACAUGGGCAGCAUCCAUCUCAACCCCCCUACUACCACCACACUAGGCAGAAGAGCUACUCCACCCACAGUACGACUGAGGUGACCGUCUGA
rnacentral:lncRNA from 1 species